AUGAAUCGAUUUGUUUUAGUAACUUUUACAGCAAUAUAUAAAGGGCUAUUCCUAACUGAUACAUAGAGUCCUGAUAUAUACAAAGUCUAUAAAUGAUAACUAUAGGAUAACAGAAAAACAAUUUAAAAAGACCUAAACUAAGAAAGUGAUUCAGAUAAAGUCUAACUCUAGAAACAGAAAAACAACUGAAACAAAUAAGCUAAAAUGCAGGAAAUAUUCCAGUCGUUAUUACGCCUUCGCAAGUUGGUGCAAGUAUCAACCACACCCAACUUAGGAAAAGCCGCUCAAAGGAAGCACGUGGCAGAGGCUUGGAAAAAUCGCCACCUCGUCGAAAUCGCCAUGGAAAACAACCCUCGCAAUCGGCUGCUAAUGCUGCGGCGGCUCAGUUCGGUGGAUACCCACCGCAACCCCACCACCUCCUUGAGAAACAUAAACGGCAGGUAGAGAUAUUUUGGAACUUUCAUCGUCAAGAUAUUUAGAAUCUUAACGAUUUCAAAGACCAGCAUCAUCAAGAGAAUCAUGAAAGCUGACGGGGAUGUCCAUAUGAUCUCAGGUGAAGCACCCAUUGUGUUUGCGAAAGCAUGUGAGCUCUUCAUUCUGGAACUCACCAUUCGCGCCUGGCUUCACGCCGAGUUAGACAAGUGAAGGACCGUCACUGGCGUGGCUCUCCGUCUGGUAGCCUGCUGAUGAUGCUAGUGGACAUGGUCACCGUAAUGAUCAAAGUUAAAGAACAUGUUCCCUGCUGAUCUAGAUGCUCAAUGGCACAAAGGAACCUAUUAGUUACUAAUGCUACAGGUCCUCUCAAAUGCGAACGCACCGCACAUUAUUGGUACUGUCCAUGGAUACUGGCUUAAGUGUAAUUACUUGAAUCCUUUAGUCGCUGUCUUGUCUGUAUUAAACUGUGUAGUUUAUCCAAAUGCUUAUGGAGUUCUAGUUUUCAGUAUUAUAAUAAACUGACCUUUCUACCCACAAUUGCAUAAUUGUAUAUGUUACUUUAAUUAGUUCUCUUUCUGCACUAUAGAAGUUUGACUAUUGUCCUCAUGCUAUACUUGGA